GGCAAGAUGGCCGAGUGGUCCAAGGCGCUGUCUUCAGGAUCCUGACUGGCAGUCCGAAAGGGCGUGGGUUCGAAUCCCACUCUUGUCA
rnacentral:tRNA from 1 species